CUGGAUGGGAAGGAUCAGCCAAUGAUUGUCGAGUGCUCUUAGCCGCGCUCGAAGAUCCGAAACGUAACUUUCCUCGACCUCCACCAGGCAAAUACUACAUGGUAGAUUCUGGUUAUGCAGCACUUCUAGGAUUUUUAACGCCAUUUAAAGGUGAACGGUAUCAUUUGAAUGAUUAUAGAGGUAGAGGGAGACGGGCUACAACAGCAAGAGAAAUAUUCAACCAUAAGCACUCUUCACUUCGGAAUGUAAUUAAGAGAGCAUUUGGGGCGCUAAAGAAACGAUUCUUUAUAUUACAACACAUGCCUUCCUUUCCA